AGCCAUUGUGGGUCAUUUCUUGUUUGAGCUUUUAGCAAUGAGGGUCUUAAACCCUAGAUGUGAACUUGAUAGAUCAAUGGUGAUCAUGCUCUACCUACAAAAGAGUUAGACAAAUGCAAAGACAUAUGUUUUGGUAUUUUGGUUAGUGAAUGAUAAAAUAACAAGUAUGCUACAAUCACAUGAUGCUUGGUGAUCUCUCCCAAAACAAAC
rnacentral:lncRNA from 1 species